AUACGUAGGGGGCGAGCGUUAUCCGGAAUUAUUGGGCGUAAAGAGUACGUAGGUGGUUACCUAAGCGAGGGGUUUAAGGCAAUGGCUUAACCAUUGUUCGCCCCCCGAACUGGGUUACUUGAGUGCUGGAGGGGAAAGCGGAAUUCCUAGUGUAGCGGUGAAAUGCGUAGAUAUUAGGAGGAACACCAGUGGCGAAGGCGGCUUUCUGGACAGUAACUGACACUGAGGUACGAAAGUGUGGGGAGCAAACAGGAUUAGUUACCCUGGUAGUCCACACCGUAAACGAUGAGCACUAGGUGUUGGGCUCGCAAGAGUUCGGUGCCGCAGUUAACGCAUUAAGUGCUCCGCCUGGGGAGUACGUACGCAAGUAUGAAACUCAAAUGAAUUGACGGGG
rnacentral:rRNA from 1 species